UGCACCAGGCCACCUACGACAUAGUUACUGCACCAGGCCACCUACGACAUAGUUACUGCACCAGGCCACCUACGACAUAGUUACUGCACCAGGCCUCCUAACAUUUUUUCAGACGACUGAAUCUGAAAACGUACAUAUCCUGGCUCUCGUUUAAUAAGCAUACACAAUUAGAAUGUUUAUAUUCUCGGGUUGACAGUGUCGAGCAAUUUUCUAGUAAUUACAAAGUUUUUGGAAUACGUGUUCAAGGUCAAUAUGGUGACAAAGUUUCCAAAAUACGUGUUCAAGGUCAAUAUGGUGACAAAGUUUCCAAAAUACGUGUUCAAGGUCGGGGGUCUUAGUGGAUGAGUGGUAAAGUGUUUGGCUUCCGAACCGAAGGGUCUCGGAUUCAAAUCUCGGUGAAGUCUGGGAUAUUGAAUUUUAAAACGAUUCGAGUCCAGCCAAGCGGGUGUCCGACAUUAGUAUGACGAAAGUAAAGGCGGUUGGUCGUUGUGCUGGCCACAUGACACUCUGGUUAAUCGUCGGCCUUAGAAAGAGAUGACUUUUGCUCUCUAUAAGGUCUGAAAGUGGUACUUUACUUUUACAUGACCGAUGUUCAAGGUCUUUACAGUGGCAGUUUCCUAAAUGUUAAGGAAUUUCAUACAAGACUUUAUGGCAGUACUAUAUCCAACUGCAGAUAACAAUAUUAUCUUGCAUUAUAAAAAAAAAAGAGGGGGUAAUUAAAUUUCAGUUUGACCAUGUCUAUCAAACUCAUUAUACGUGCAAAGGUUAUUUAUAGGCAUAGUUGUUUUGCCUAAUUGUGUGAUGCAUUAUUUACACUGAUUUUUUUCAAAUUCAUCGUGAUUAAAAAAAACAAAA